rnacentral:rRNA from 1 species
UACGUAGGGGGCAAGCGUUGUCCGGAUUCAUUGGGCGUAAAGAGCGUGUAGGCGGCCAGGUAGGUCGGUUGUGAAAACUGGAGGCUCAACCUUCAGAGGUCGACCGAAACCAUCUGGCUAGAGUCCGGGAGAGGAGAGUGGAAUUCCAGGUGUAGCGGUGAAAUGCGUAGAUAUUGGGAAGAACACCAGUGGCGAAAGCGGACUUCUGGGUAGUUACUGACGCUGAGGUACGGAAAGCGAUGGGGAGCAAACGGGG